AAUUAAGAAAAAAUACAAUGGUUGUGAACACGUCGUUACAAAUUUGUUGUCGUAAAUCGUUAUCAAUCAGCUGAUUGAAAAAACAUAUAUUAGAAUAUUUGCAGAAAUAAGUAUUUCGCAUUCAAAAUGCCAAGGAGAAGUGAAAAUUUUAAAAUAAUGGAUGCGCUGUGCAAGAAUCAGGCAUUAAACCUGAUGAUACUUGACUCAACCGACGAUGAAGAUGAUGACGAAAUGUUUGAAAAUUUUUCAUUGAGUUUACUUUGCUUAUUAAACACUCGUAGAAGUGUGCAUCUCGGAAUACCAAAGUCAUCCCAAUGGCGACAUAAUGUACUUAGGAACUUUGAUGACAGCCGUUUCAACGAAAUGAUUCGUGUUCGCCCGGACGAAUUUUCGCCGCAUACUAGAUUAUAUAAAGGACGAUAGUGUAUUUAACACAAAUUCCAGUGGAGCACAACUUCCUUUAGAUUUACAACUAAAAAAGGUGCUAUUUAGGUUGGGAUCUUCCAGAAAUGGAUUAUCUAUACGAAAGGUUGCUUCAUUGUUUGGCGUGGAUGAUGGAGGCACUAUUCAAAAUAUAACUAAGCGCGUAUUCAAAGCAAUAUUGAGGUUAAAAGAGAAGUUUCUGUUUUGGCCAAAUGAAAAUGAACGGUUGGAAAUUGUUACUGCAACGCGGAAAGAGAUGCCAGGUUGUAUAGGAUAUAUUGAUGGAUCCGAAUUAAAGUUGGCUGAAGCGCCAGCCAAAAACAUGAACUUUUUUAUUCACGAAAACGCCAAUAUGCUAUUAAAAUGCAAGCAAUUUGUGACUAUAAGCUACGAAUUAGACAAGUCACAAUAGGAUACCCUGGAAGUGUUUAUGACUCCAAAUUCUUUUUGAAUAGCCCGCUUGCAAAACAUCCUCAACGAUUUUUAUCUAACUCUCAGUGGAUUGCUGGAGAUAGCGCCUAUCCACUUAAACAAUUUUUAUUGACAUCGUUCAGGAAAAAUAGUACGGACUACACUAUGGAAGAAAGAGAAAGUUAAAAUAAGUACUUUUCAAAAUAUCAUGUGCGAAUUGAGAAUUGUUUUGGCAUUUUAAAAGAAAAAUUCGGUAGCUUGAAGGAAUUGAAGUUUAGAAUGAUAAAUGAGCGAAAUAAAAAAGAAUGCAAUGAGUGGAUCAUGGUAUGCUGCAUUCUCCAUAAUAUGCUAAUCAAUUUCCAAAUUGAAAACGAAGAAAGCGUUGAAAUUAACCCACCUCAAUAUAGCUUACCACCAGGAAGUAACACAAGAUCUAGCGUUCUUGACUUCAUACAAAAUCAUAGAUUAACUUAAAAUACAUCAUUAUUUAAACGUAUACAAGUAUUUACUAUUCAUUAGUUUAAUUAGUACAUAUGUAAAAAUGUUUUUUUGUUUUUUUAUUAAAAAAUUAAUAUAAAAAGUAAUUAUUAAAAAUAAACUUCAGGUACAUUAAUUCA